AGAGUUUGAUCCUGGCUCAGGAUGAACGCUGGCGGCGUGCCUAAUACAUGCAAGUAGAACGCUGAAGAAAGAGCUUGCUCUUUUGAAAGAGUUGCGAACGGGUGAGUAACGCGUAGGUAACCUGCCUGGUAGCGGGGGAUAACUAUUGGAAACGAUAGCUAAUACCGCAUAAUAGCUUUGAUCGCAUGAUUGAAGUUUGAAAGAUGCAAUUGCAUCACUACCAGAUGGACCUGCGUUGUAUUAGCUAGUAGGUGAGGUAAAGGCUCACCUAGGCGACGAUACAUAGCCGACCUGAGAGGGUGAACGGCCACACUGGGACUGAGACACGGCCCAGACUCCUACGGGAGGCAGCAGUAGGGAAUCUUCGGCAAUGGGGGCAACCCUGACCGAGCAACGCCGCGUGAGUGAAGAAGGUUUUCGGAUCGUAAAGCUCUGUUGUAAGAGAAGAACGUGUGUGAGAGUGGAAAGUUCACACAGUGACGGUAACUUACCAGAAAGGGACGGCUAACUACGUGCCAGCAGCCGCGGU
rnacentral:rRNA from 1 species